rnacentral:rRNA from 1 species
CCUACGGGAGGCAGCAGUAGGGAAUAUUGCUCAAUGGGGGAAACCCUGAAGCAGCAACGCCGCGUGGAGGAUGAAGGUUUUCGGAUUGUAAACUCCUUUUGUUAGAGAAGAUAAUGACGGUAUCUAACGAAUAAGCACCGGCUAACUCCGUGCCAGCAGCCGCGGUAAUACGGAGGGUGCAAGCGUUACUCGGAAACACUGGGCGUAAAGAGCGCGUAGGCGGGAUAGCAAGUCAGAGGUGAAAUCCUAGGGCUUAACCAUAGAACUGCAUUUGAAACUGUUAUUCUAGAGUAUGGGAGAGGUAGGUGGAAUUCUUGGUGUAGGGGUAAAAUCCGUAGAGAUCAAGAGGAAUACUCAUUGCGAAGGCGGCCUGCUAGAACAUAACUGACGCUGAUGCGCGAAAGCGUGGGGAGCAAACAGGAUUAGAUACCCCUGUAGUC